rnacentral:lncRNA from 1 species
CUCCCCACGCGGCGAGGGGGGGCGGCACCGCCAGUCACUGCUGCGCCUGUCAAACCCCGGCCGGCUAUUUAUACCCCGUGGGGCCCCGUCGCCCUUGGCCCCUACCAGCCCGCCAAACAAGCCUCUGCGGCUCACUCGAAUCCACCCGCCCGGUAUCCUCUAACUUCUCCCAAACCUGCUUUCUCAGGAGGAGCCCUUGAAGAACCCGGGAUGUGUUCUAGCUACAAACACAAGAGCAUUUUUUCAUCUUGGCCACUAGAGGGAAGAGUAGAAUGUCAAAAAAUGUAGGUAUCGUGUAUGAGUUCUCAAUGGCUGAUAAUUGCUGUUAGUUCUUGCCCUGACGUUGUUAAUACAUAAAACUUCUUUGUAUUUUUUACUUGUGAGUGAUAAUUGACAAAUAAGAUUAAGUAUUCAUAAACAUUUUUCUCCAUUUUCUGAAAAUAAAUGUAUUAUGUUAAGUGAAAGACAGUAGACACAGAGACCACAUAUUGUCUGAUUUCAUUUAUAUGAAAUAUCCAAAAAUGGAAAAGCUCUAAACAGAAAGUAGACUAGUAUUUGCUCAGGGUGAGGGCUCAGUUGAACGGAGAUUGGCAGUAAAUGUGCCUGAGGGAUCUUGUGGAUAGAUGAAAAUGUUAUAAAAUGCAUAUAUAGUGAUAGUUGUACAUGUGAAAUAGUAAAAUAACUAUAUUAAAAUCAUUGAAUUGUACACUUGGAAUUAGUGAAUUAUGUGAUAUAUAAAAAAUUCCUCAACAAAGGCAUGUGCUGAAAAAAAGAAAUGAACCCCCCCAAAUCCUAUGCAUUCAAAAAGAUUGAAAAUACAAGUUUAAAUAUGCACAGAAAUGUCUAGGAGGAUAGCCACUAUUUAUUUAGUGAUUAACUCUAAGAAAUGCUAUUGUUGGGGAGGACUGGGAACUUUUUAAUACUCUAUGUCUUUCUGUAUUUGGGUGGCAAUAAUUGAUUUAAAAUUAGUUUAAAACAUUUUUGAGAGAUAAGAAGUCAAAGUGUAUAAAUUGUAAUGGAAUUAUAAGUAUCAUUUCCUUUGGAUAGUGCAAUAUG